rnacentral:rRNA from 1 species
AUGCAACAACCCCCAAAUUCUCCCGACUUGAACGCUCUUGAACUUGGGUACUUCAGAUCACUCGAGUCUCUAACGGACUGCAGAGUGCCUACCACUAUCCCGCAGCUAAUUCAAGGGGUCCAGGAAGAAUUCAAUGACUAUGAAGUUGGAAAACUGAAUAGAAUCUUCCUAACCUUGCAAACAUGUAUGGUGGAAAUAAUGAAUCAUGCAGGAGGAAAUGCUUACAAAAUUCUGCAUGUGACAAAGCAAGAUUUGAAAGGCUUGGAAUUCUACCUCCUAGUGUUCAUUUCCCCCACGAAGUGUAUUACAACGCCUUAA